UGCUGUGGAUAACUUCUA
rnacentral:snRNA from 1 species